UGAAGGAACUGUUCAUAUAAGCAGACUGAAGAAAGAAAUGAGACACAAAGCAAAGGGGUUUCCACCCACAGAAGCCAAACUUCAUAUACUUUCUAUGAACACCUCAGAGGGCUACUCUUCGGCAAGAUUACCAGUCAACUCUGAUAGCCUAGGCUACAAUAAGCUGAAUCACACUCCAGUUAUUUAAAAAUCUGCUUUUGUUACUCACUUGGUUUUAACAGUGCAGAGGAAAGCACAAUACAGACAAAGCAAAACUGAGUCUUUUCAGCUAACUAAAAGAGAGCAGAACAAGUUAUCAGAGAAAGCUUACACCUCUUUAAAGAUACAAAUUGAUAAUGGAGCUGUAUAUCAAAACAACAAGAGUCCUGUUCAUUUUUAAAAAGGUGCAAAUUGCUAGUCUUACUUCAGGCUUUUUUUUAAUGCCUUAUUAAGAGUUUCUAUCAGUGAAAUUUUACACAACAUUAAAUACUUGAAAAAUUCAAAAUACGGUACACUGAAGAUAUAAAGCAUUCUUCAGUCUUACUUCUGAAAUGCAGUGAUCUCAACUACCAAUUCCUGCCACUUCCACUGAACGCUGCAGAAGAGUCAAAAUAAAGGAAGUGGUCUUCCUAAAUUUGCA
rnacentral:lncRNA from 1 species